AUAACGACUCUCGGCAACGGAUAUCUCGGCUCUCGCAUCGAUGAAGAACGCAGCGAAAUGCGAUACUUGGUGUGAAUUGCAGAAUCCCGUGAACCAUCGAGUCUUUGAACGCAAGUUGCGCCCUAAGCCUUCUGGCCGAGGGCACGUCUGCCUGGG
rnacentral:rRNA from 1 species